AUUGAACGCUGGCGGCAGGCCUAACACAUGCAAGUCGGGCGAGCGUCGGACGGGUGCGUAAUGUAUGGGGAUCUGCCUGAUGGCGGGGGAUACCUACUGGAAACGGUAGCUAAUACCGCAUACCCUCAGAUGAACCCAUAUGGGAUUAGCUAGUAGGUGAGGUAACGGCUUACCUAGGCGACGAUCCCUAGCUGGUCUGAGAGGAGGAUCGGCCACACUGGGUCUGAGACACGGCCCAGACUACUACGGGAGGCAGCAGUGGGGAAUAGUGCACAAUGGGCGCAAGCCUGAGGCAGCGACGCCGCGGGGGGGAUGAAGGGUUUCGGGUUGUAAACCUCUUUCGCUAUCGAACGGGUAGGUGGAGAAGAAGCGCCGGCUAACUACGUGCCAGCAGCCGCGGUAAUUC
rnacentral:rRNA from 1 species